GGGUGGCAAUUAUGUUCUUAGAGGUUUGGCUAAAUUCCAAGCACAUAGAUAUGUGUUGUUCAACUGCUUAGAUGUCAACCUAUUCCUUCGAGCUCACGCUGAUGAGCUCAAUAGCGAGCGUGAUGUCUCCUCAAACACAGUCGAGUCCAUCCAGCAUGUUAAGUUCAACGACUGGUUCAAAGCUCAUAUGAUUAAAUUGGAGAAAGAAAAUGGUAUUGGCAGUAUUAACAAUGA